UACAUUUGAUUUUAAAAUUAUCCUAUCCUCCAAUUUUAUCAAAAUAUCUAUUCAUAUCUAUCCAUAUUACUUUAUAAAAUCCCUAAUUCCUAAAUUCCCAAAUCAAACUCAGAAACCCUAAUUCCCAAAUUGAGGAACCCUAACCCCAGCUUCUAAACGCAGCCCCACCCCCUUUCUUCCCAAACCUAAUACUGAAACGGAAUCAGACAGGGAGAGAGAGAGGAAAUCAGGGUGUGAUCCAAGCAGCCACCGUUCAGUCGCCAGAGACGCCGCUGGGGGUUCUUCGCCGUCACUAUCGUCCUCAUCCACACGAGCUGCAGCGCUGCGCGGCCCAGCCAUCGUGACCUCCGUGGAGUCCGCGUCGCUGUCGCCUCGGCUGCUUCCACCGCCGCUGGAUCCGUCGCGCGCGCCGUUGUCUGAGGAGCCACCGUCGUCCUUGCUCUUUGUCUCCCUUAGAGCCGUCACCGUCGCUGGAGCCAGCCGCCUUCGUCGCCGUUCAUCUUUGCCGUCGCCCUUAUCGCCGCUCUGUGGAGGCCGCAGAGAAGAACGUGAACCAGGAGCCAUAGCGCCGCCGCCGCCGAUCUGUCACCAUGCUGCCGCGCUGCCGUUCGUUGUUGUUCCGCCACCGGCAGGCCUUGUCGUCGCCGGAGUUACCACCGCCGCGUGCCACGCCGCUUCUCACCGCUGAAGGGAAGCGCCACUGCUAUUGCCCGACAGUAGUUUCCCCUUUGUUCCCAAUUCCAUUCCUGAAACUUAUUAUCGUCCUUAUCCGGAACCACUGAUGUCACCGCUAUAGAGAUGAUUGGGAUAGGCGCGAUUGUCAUUGUUGUUGCUGCCCCAGAAGAAGUGAGGCUGCUGCUGCUGUUUGGCUGAAGCUGAGACCUUUCACCAUCACUGGAGCUGCCCAGAAUUAUCAUGGUAGCUGCUAAGAGAGCAGAACGGAUGUUAGAACUGCCAAUGGAGCUGCUGGGUUUAGUGAUUUCUGUGAGUUUCGACUUUGAGUGACACAGGUUCGAAGACUCCAUUUGAAGCUGCAGGCGAUUAUAGAUCUUAUUUAUGAGUUAAGUUUAUGACUUGAGUUAUUUUCAUAGAAGUUCCCUCGCUCUUAUUGCUUAACAUUUUUAUUUUAUACAGAGGGAUAGGAUUUGUAUGCGAGUUUUGUUUGAAAUCUUUUGUAUGACAGAUAUUAUUAUUAAUGAUUAUGUGAUUAUUAUUACUUGGUGAU